GACGAACCGAGCGAACGUUAUUCGGAAUCACUGGGCUUAAAGGGCGCGUAGGCGGGCGGCCAAGUCAGAGGUGAAAGCCCCCAGCUCAACUGGGGAAGUGCCUUUGAUACUGGUCAUCUUGAGGGAGAUAGGGGCGUGCGGAACUUCCGGUGGAGCGGUGAAAUGCGUAGAUAUCGGAAGGAACACCGGUGGCGAAAGCGGCGCGCUGGAUCUCUUCUGACGCUGAGGCGCGAAAGCCAGGGGAGCGAACAGG
rnacentral:rRNA from 1 species